UACGGGGGGGGCAAGCGUUGUUCGGAAUUACUGGGCGUAAAGGGUUCGUAGGUGGCCUACUAAGUCAGACGUGAAAUCCCUCAGCUUAACUGGGGAACUGCGUCUGAUACUGGUAGGCUUGAGUGCAGGAGAGGAACGCGGAAUUCCAGGUGUAGCGGUGAAAUGCGUAGAUAUCUGGAGGAACACCGAUGGCGAAGGCAAUCCCCUGGGCCUGCACUGACGCUCAUGCACGAAAGCGUGGGGAGCAAACAGG
rnacentral:rRNA from 1 species